rnacentral:rRNA from 1 species
CUUGGUCAUUUAGAGGAAGUAAAAGUCGUAACAAGGUCUCCGUUGGUGAACCAGCGGAGGGAUCAUUACAGAGUUGCAAAACUCCCAAACCAUUGUGAACGUUACCUAACCGUUGCUUCGGCGGGCGGCCCGGGCCCUGCGCCCGGCGCCCCUCGGCCCCCCGCGGGCGCCCGCCGGAGGUAAACCAAACUCUUGAAUUGUAUGGCCUCUCUGAGUCUUCUGUACUGAAUAAGUCAAAACUUUCAACAACGGAUCUCUUGGUUCUGGCAUCGAUGAAGAACGCAGCGAAAUGCGAUAAGUAAUGUGAAUUGCAGAAUUCAGUGAAUCAUCGAAUCUUUGAACGCACAUUGCGCCCGCCAGUAUUCUGGCGGGCAUGCCUGUUCGAGCGUCAUUUCAACCAUCAAGCCCCCGGCUUGUGUUGGGGACCUGCGGCUGCCGCAGGCCCUGAAAACCAGUGGCGGGCUCGCUGUCACUCCGAGCGUAGUAGUUACAUCUCGCUCAGGGCGUGCUGCGGGUUCCGGCCGUUAAAAAGCCUUAUUUACCCCAAGAUUGACCUCGGAUCAGGUAGGAAGACCCGCUGAACUUAAGCAUAUCAAUAAGCGGAGGA